rnacentral:rRNA from 1 species
GCAUUAGACACAUCUGGUGUUGAAGCGAGAUGGCUUCGAGAUCUUUUGAUGGACUUGCCAUUGGUUGAUAAACCGAUUCCGGCUAUCCUUAUGAACUGUGACAAUCAGACUGUCAUCACCAAGGUGAAGAGUUCAAAGGACAACAUGAAGUCCACCAAACACAUAAGAAUGAGAUUAAAAGCUGUCAGAAAAUUAAGAAACUCCGGAGUAAUAGCGUUGGACUAUGUCCAUACGGCUAAGAAUCUGGCAGAUCCCUUUACGAAAGGGCUAUCACGUGUUGUGAUAGAUAGUGCAUCGAGGGAGAUGGGUAUGAGACCCACAUGA